rnacentral:rRNA from 1 species
GGGUUGUGAGGUUAAGCGACUAAGCGUACACGGUGGAUGCCCUGGCAGUCAGAGGCGAUGAAGGACGUGCUAAUCUGCGAUAAGCGUCGGUAAGGUGAUAUGAACCGUUAUAACCGGCGAUUUCCGAAUGGGGAAACCCAGUGUGAUUCGUCACACUAUCAUUAACUGAAUCCAUAGGUUAAUGAGGCGAACCGGGGGAACUGAAACAUCUAAGUACCCCGAGGAAAAGAAAUCAACCGAGAUUCCCCCAGUAGCGGCGAGCGAACGGGGAGCAGCCCAGAGCCUGAAUCAGUGUGUGUGUUAGUGGAAGCGUCUGGAAAGGCGUGCGAUACAGGGUGACAGCCCCGUACACAAAAAUGCACAUACUGUGAGCUCGAUGAGUAGGGCGGGACACGUGGUAUCCUGUCUGAAUAUGGGGGGACCAUCCUCCAAGGCUAAAUACUCCUGACUGACCGAUAGUGAACCAGUACCGUGAGGGAAAGGCGAAAAGAACCCCGGCGAGGGGAGUGAAAAAGAACCUGAAACCGUGUACGUACAAGCAGUGGGAGCACGCUUAGGCGUGUGACUGCGUACCUUUUGUAUAAUGGGUCAGCGACUUAUAUUCUGUAGCAAGGUUAACCGAAUAGGGGAGCCGAAGGGAAACCGAGUCUUAACUGGGCGUUAAGUUGCAGGGUAUAGACCCGAAACCCGGUGAUCUAGCCAUGGGCAGGUUGAAGGUUGGGUAACACUAACUGGAGGACCGAACCGACUAAUGUUGAAAAAUUAGCGGAUGACUUGUGGCUGGGGGUGAAAGGCCAAUCAAACCGGGAGAUAGCUGGUUCUCCCCGAAAGCUAUUUAGGUAGCGCCUCGUGAAUUCAUCUCCGGGGGUAGAGCACUGUUUCGGCAAGGGGGUCAUCCCGACUUACCAACCCGAUGCAAACUGCGAAUACCGGAGAAUGUUAUUACGGGAGACACACGGCGGGUGCUAACGUCCGUCGUGAAGAGGGAAACAACCCAGACCGCCAGCUAAGGUCCCAAAGUCAUGGUUAAGUGGGAAACGAUGUGGGAAGGCCCAGACAGCCAGGAUGUUGGCUUAGAAGCAGCCAUCAUUUAAAGAAAGCGUAAUAGCUCACUGGUCGAGUCGGCCUGCGCGGAAGAUGUAACGGGGCUAAACCAUGCACCGAAGCUGCGGCAGCGACGCUUAUGCGUUGUUGGGUAGGGGAGCGUUCUGUAAGCCUGUGAAGGUGUGCUGUGAGGUAUGCUGGAGGUAUCAGAAGUGCGAAUGCUGACAUAAGUAACGAUAAAGCGGGUGAAAAGCCCGCUCGCCGGAAGACCAAGGGUUCCUGUCCAACGUUAAUCGGGGCAGGGUGAGUCGACCCCUAAGGCGAGGCCGAAAGGCGUAGUCGAUGGGAAACAGGUUAAUAUUCCUGUACUUGGUGUUACUGCGAAGGGGGGACGGAGAAGGCUAUGUUGGCCGGGCGACGGUUGUCCCGGUUUAAGCGUGUAGGCUGGUUUUCCAGGCAAAUCCGGAAAAUCAAGGCCGAGGCGUGAUGACGAGGCACUACGGUGCUGAAGCAACAAAUGCCCUGCUUCCAGGAAAAGCCUCUAAGCAUCAGGUAACAUCAAAUCGUACCCCAAACCGACACAGGUGGUCAGGUAGAGAAUACCAAGGCGCUUGAGAGAACUCGGGUGAAGGAACUAGGCAAAAUGGUGCCGUAACUUCGGGAGAAGGCACGCUGAUACGUAGGUGAAGCGACUUGCUCGUGGAGCUGAAAUCAGUCGAAGAUACCAGCUGGCUGCAACUGUUUAUUAAAAACACAGCACUGUGCAAACACGA